AAAGUGAAGGCAGCCUCGGGUUUGCCUAGGUAGGAUCCUUUUUUCUCUUUCGAGAGGAGGCGCACUACCGGCCCGUCUCGUCCGCGUUGCGGUGAGGCGGAGCGAGAGCGUACACGUUGGGACCCGAAAGAUGGUGAACUAUGCCUGAGUAGGACGAAGCCAGAGGAAACUCUGGUGGAAGUCCGUAGCGAUUCUGACGUGCAAAUCGAUCGUCGAACUUGGGUAUAGGGGCGAAAGACUAAUCGAACCGUCUAGUAGCUGGUUCCUUCCGAA
rnacentral:rRNA from 1 species